AUUGAGCAAACUCGCACCGACUGUUACGUAACAACUUUGAUGUCACGUCGCAGAUUUCUUCCGGCACUCAACAGCAAAAAAUCCAGUGAAAGAUCUCAAGCUGAAUGACAAGCAGUCAACACACAAGUUCAGCGGCGGAUAUAGCGAAAAGGGCCAUGGUACGAAUUAAUGAAAGUAUACGUCGUGAAUAUUCAGAUACACCUCUCGUGCUCACAGACAUUCCAAUGAGACGAAAGUUGCGAGGCACUAGUCCUGACAAAGUUGCCACCGGUGGUCAUUUGGUUUUGCAAAUCCAUGACGAACUACUGUAUGAACCAUUAUAAUCAAAAAAAAGGGUGGUGAAGGAUAAAUCCAGGUAAAAGUUUAAUCAACAACUCGAUGAGAAACAGUCUGAUCGAAAAAGAGCAUUCAACGAAUCAAACGUGACUAUGGGAAUCGCACGACUACUCUUCAGAUACUUGCACGCUAGGGGAAUAAAUCGAAAUCUCAACUGAGUCCUCAAAGUCGAACACACUUUUUUAAAGUCCAUUAUACCCGUUGUUUCCGCUGUUUGAUUGGAGGUCGAUGAGUUU